rnacentral:rRNA from 1 species
UACAGAGGGUGCGAGCGUUAAUCGGAAUUACUGGGCGUAAAGCGUGCGUAGACGGUUUCGUAAGUCGGGUGUGAAAUCCCCGGGCUCAACCUGGGAAUUGCAUUCGAAACUGCGAGGCUAGGGUACGGAAGAGGGAAGCGGAAUUUCUGGUGUAGCGGUGAAAUGCGUAGAUAUCGGGAAGAACACCGGUGGCGAAGGCGGCUAUCUGGACAGAGUCUGACGCUGAUGCGCGAAAGCUAGGGGAGCAAACAGG